rnacentral:rRNA from 1 species
CAAGUCGAGCGCCCCGCAAGGGGAGCGGCAGACGGGUGAGUAACGCGUGGGAACGUACCUUUUGCUACGGAAUAACUCAGGGAAACUUGUGCUAAUACCGUAUGUGCCCUUCGGGGGAAAGAUUUAUCGGCAAAGGAUCGGCCCGCGUUGGAUUAGCUAGUUGGUGAGGUAAAGGCUCACCAAGGCGACGAUCCAUAGCUGGUCUGAGAGGAUGAUCAGCCACACUGGGACUGAGACGCGGCCCAGACUCCUACGGGAGGCAGCAGUGGGGAAUAUUGGACAAUGGGCGCAAGCCUGAUCCAGCCAUGCCGCGUGAGUGAUGAAGGCCCUAGGGUUGUAAAGCUCUUUCACCGGUGAAGAUAAUGACGGUAACCGGAGAAGAAGCCCCGGCUAACUUCGUGCCAGCAGCCGCGGUAAUACGAAGGGGGCUAGCGUUGUUCGGAUUUACUGGGCGUAAAGCGCACGUAGGCGGACUUUUAAGUCAGGGGUGAAAUCCCGGGGCUCAACCCCGGAACUGCCUUUGAUACUGGAAGUCUUGAGUAUGGUAGAGGUGAGUGGAAUUCCGAGUGUAGAGGUGAAAUUCGUAGAUAUUCGGAGGAACACCAGUGGCGAAGGCGGCUCACUGGACCAUUACUGACGCUGAGGUGCGAAAGCGUGGGGGAGCAAACAGGAUUAGAUACCCUGGUAGUCCACGCCGUAAACGAUGAAUGUUAGCCGUUGGGGAGUUUACUCUUCGGUGGCGCAGCUAACGCAUUAAACAUUCCGCCUGGGGAGUACGGUCGCAAGAUUAAAACUCAAAGGGAUUGACGG